rnacentral:rRNA from 1 species
AGGACGAACGCUGGCGGCGUGCUUAACACAUGCAAGUCGAGCGGAAAGGCCCUUCGGGGUACUCGAGCGGCGAACGGGUGAGUAACACGUGAGCAACCUGCCCUUAGCUCUGGGAUAGCUCCGGGAAAACCGGGAUUAAUACCGGAUAUGACCACGGUCGGCCUCGGCUGUGGUGGAAAGAUUUAUCGGCUAGGGAUGGGCUCGCGGCCUAUCAGCUUGUUGGUGAGUAACAGCUCACCAAGGCGACGACGGGUAG